UGGGGAAUAUUGCACAAUGGGGGAAACCCUGAUGCAGCGACGCCGCGUGAGCGAAGAAGUAUUUCGGUAUGUAAAGCUCUGUCAGCAGGGAAGAAAAUGACGGUACCUGACUAAGAAGCCCCGGCUAACUACGUGCCAGCAGCCGCGGUAAUACGUAGGGGGCAAGCGUUAUCCGGAUUUACUGGGUGUAAAGGGAGCGCAGGCGGUCCUGCAAGUCUGAUGUGAAAGCCCGGGGCUCAACCCCGGGACUGCAUUGGAAACUGUGGGACUUGAGUGUCGGAGGGGCGAAGUGGAAUUCCUGGUGUAGCGGUGAAAUGUGUAGAUAUCAGGAGGAACACCGGUGGCGAAGGCGGCCUGCCGGACUGUAACUGACACUGAGGCUCGAAAGCGUGGGGAGCAAACAGGAUUAGAUACCCUGGUAGU
rnacentral:rRNA from 1 species